AGCGAACGCUGGCGGCAGGCCUAACACAUGCAAGUCGAACGGAUCCUUCGGGAUUAGUGGCGGACGGGUGAGUAACACGUGGGAACGUGCCCUUUGGUUCGGAACAACUCAGGGAAACUUGAGCUAAUACCGGAUGUGCCCUUCGGGGGAAAGAUUUAUCGCCAUUGGAGCGGCCCGCGUCUGAUUAGCUAGUUGGUGAGGUAAAGGCUCACCAAGGCGACGAUCAGUAGCUGGUCUGAGAGGAUGAUCAGCCACAUUGGGACUGAGACACGGCCCAAACUCCUACGGGAGGCAGCAGUGGGGAAUCUAGCGCAAUGGGCGAAAGCCUGACGCAGCCACGCCGCGUGAAUGAUGAGGGUCUUAGGAUUGUAAAAUUCUUUCACCGGGGACGAUAAUGACGGUACCCGGAGAAGAAGCCCCGGCUAACUUCGUGCCAGCAGCCGCAGUAA
rnacentral:rRNA from 1 species